rnacentral:rRNA from 1 species
GAUGAACGCUGGCGGCGUGCCUAAUACAUGCAAGUCGAGCGAACGGACGAGAAGCUUGCUUCUCUGAUGUUAGCGGCGGACGGGUGAGUAACACGUGGAUAACCUACCUAUAAGACUGGGAUAACUUCGGGAAACCGGAGCUAAUACCGGAUAAUAUUUUGAACCGCAUGGUUCAAAAGUGAAAGACGGUCUUGCUGUCACUUAUAGAUGGAUCCGCGCUGCAUUAGCUAGUUGGUAAGGUAACGGCUUACCAAGGCAACGAUGCAUAGCCGACCUGAGAGGGUGAUCGGCCACACUGGAACUGAGACACGGUCCAGACUCCUACGGGAGGCAGCAGUAGGGAAUCUUCCGCAAUGGGCGAAAGCCUGACGGAGCAACGCCGCGUGAGUGAUGAAGGUCUUCGGAUCGUAAAACUCUGUUAUUAGGGAAGAACAUAUGUGUAAGUAACUGUGCACAUCUUGACGGUACCUAAUCAGAAAGCCACGGCUAACUACGUGCCAGCAGCCGCGGUAAUACGUAGGUGGCAAGCGUUAUCCGGAAUUAUUGGGCGUAAAGCGCGCGUAGGCGGUUUUUUAAGUCUGAUGUGAAAGCCCACGGCUCAACCGUGGAGGGUCAUUGGAAACUGGAAAACUUGAGUGCAGAAGAGGAAAGUGGAAUUCCAUGUGUAGCGGUGAAAUGCGCAGAGAUAUGGAGGAACACCAGUGGCGAAGGCGACUUUCUGGUCUGUAACUGACGCUGAUGUGCGAAAGCGUGGGGAUCAAACAGGAUUAGAUACCCUGGUAGUCCACGCCGUAAACGAUGAGUGCUAAGUGUUAGGGGGUUUCCGCCCCUUAGUGCUGCAGCUAACGCAUUAAGCACUCCGCCUGGGGAGUACGACCGCAAGGUUGAAACUCAAAGGAACUGACGGGGACCCGCACAAGCGGUGGAGCAUGUGGUUUAAUUCGAAGCAACGCGAAGAACCUUACCAAAUCUUGACAUCCUUUGACAACUCUAGAGAUAGAGCUUUCCCCUUCGGGGGACAAAGUGACAGGUGGUGCAUGGUUGUCGUCAGCUCGUGUCGUGAGAUGUUGGGUUAAGUCCCGCAACGAGCGCAACCCUUAAGCUUAGUUGCCAUCAUUAAGUUGGGCACUCUAAGUUGACUGCCGGUGACAAACCGGAGGAAGGUGGGGAUGACGUCAAAUCAUCAUGCCCCUUAUGAUUUGGGCUACACACGUGCUACAAUGGACAAUACAAAGGGCAGCGAAACCGCGAGGUCAAGCAAAUCCCAUAAAGUUGUUCUCAGUUCGGAUUGUAGUCUGCAACUCGACUACAUGAAGCUGGAAUCGCUAGUAAUCGUAGAUCAGCAUGCUACGGUGAAUACGUUCCCGGGUCU